GCGGGGGUGCCGGAGCGGUCAAACGGGCUGGGCUUAGGACCCAGUGGGUUAGUCCCUGCGCGAGUUCAAAUCUCGUCCCCCGCA
rnacentral:tRNA from 1 species